CAGCAACUUAACCGUUUGAAGACAUCUGAUUGAAAAUGAGAAGUUUUCAACACUGCAGGUCUGACCAGAGGGAAGGAAAGGACCACAGGGAGGCCGAAGAGGUGUGUCUAAAGCAGUGAGUCAGACACCAGAGCUGAAGCUGACUUUUUGAAUUUUGAAAGUCAACAAUGAGGCUGAGGGCACAGACACCUCCGUCCUGCCUAGUUCUGAAGAUACUCUUCUCACCUCCUCCACUCCCCUGCACGCAGAAGAGGAUGAGGCUGCAGGAAACCAUGGGCCAGCUGUGAAGCUCUGGUCAUUCCAGCUGUGUAGACUGCUGAAAAUCAUGUCACCUUGCUUCUUCUCUCUUUGUUCUCCAGGUCAUCCUUCCUCCUCCAACAGCUCACUGCUCCUUUCCCUCUUCCUCAGAGUCAUCCUCCGUACCGAGUCCCCACCCCCACCUCCUGAUCUUCCCACCCCCUUCACUCUUCCUUUUGGUCCACUGGCUCCUCUCUUCCUUGCUUUCCUUCCUUUUACCCAGUUUCACUGGCAAAACCCAACACAAUAACAAAAGAAUAGGGAAUAGGUAAAUAGCUGCCUAUCCUCACUUGGAAGUCCCGAGGAAGCAACUUCCUUUACCUCCCUUGAUAGAGUCUUUGUAUUUCAAAAUGUCUGGCCCUCAUUCAAGGCCAGCCACAGUAGCCCUGGAGUCAUUGUGUUGAGAGGAAGGUAAAUCCAGGCAGUUUCUAUUUUUAGAUGCAACUAUGUUUCUGGAAAAUGCAGUAUAACACAUAAUAGGAAAUCCUCAGAGUGUGAAGACUGUUUCCUGCCGGUUGAAGCAUUAUUGUCCUUGGCUGUUCUGACCACACUAGAAACCUUUGAGUAAAUGGACAAAGAUGCGGGGGCAGAACAGGAAAGAACCGGCUGAUGAGAAAGCGAAGUACAGAGUCAGGGAAAGUGGGAUUGCCGAGGAAGGUGAUUAAUACUGCAGGCAAGAGCAAGGAGGCUGUAGACUCCUCUCAGAGGUUGAGACAAGCUGGGGUCAGCUACAGCAAGGCACUGUCAGCUCAGUAUGUGCUGUUUAUUAUUCAAACAUGGCCCAUGGGUAAGUGGGUAUCUAAUCAGUGCUGCUUGAGGAUGAUAACAGUGACAGUUGUUAUAGACUGAAUUUACAUGUCCUCUCAAAGCCUCCUAUGAUCACAGGCAGGACUCUGGAAAAGCGAUUGAAUUACAAGGUUUUUACAGCUAAAAUGUGAUGUUGGGAGGCGGGGCCUGGUCAGAAAAGGCGGUUACUGGAGCCAUGACUUGGAAGACUACAUCUCCCUCCCCGCCCCUUCACUCCUCCUCUUGCUGCCACGCCCUGAGCAGCUGUCCUCUGCCCAGGCCCUUCCACCACGACUCCCACCCUGCAGCCAGCUGAUUUCAGACUAAAAAGCAAACCAAAGUGAGCCUCUCCUCCUUGAAGUUGCAGUGUUGGGCAUUUUGUCCCAGCGAGGAGAAAAGUGACGAAGACACGGCCUGUUCCCGCUAUCGGCCAUUGCCGCGAUGGAGCUUGUUGGAGAGACAGAGGCUCGUUUAUUUUCAGAUAGGAAUAUUUUCUGCUACGGAACCUUCAGACAUGAGAGACUAGAGGGUCUCAGGCCUGACAGGUACUAGAUGGUCUGGAGCAACGCUUCCUGGGUGCAUGAGUCCCCGUGAUCUUGUUACAGGACAGAUUCCCUUUUAGUAAGUCUGGGGUGAGUGGUCUCGCAUUCCUAACAAACUCCCACGCAAGUUCUUCUAGUGAGUCAAUAUAUGCAUCCUCUUUGUGCACUCAGCGAAUGAGGCAUCUUUUCUCUACUUCAUGUUCAAUAAUGUCUUGGUGGCUUGAACUGGCCAAGGGGGGAAGAAUGUACAACAUAAAACCCAGCAAAUACAAAUAUAUAAAUAAGGCCCUGUUCUUUUCCGUUCCUUUUUCUCCUUCCUUUUGGAGAUCUGGUCUACCAACACACUGUUAGAAUGGGAGAAUGACUACAUUGUGGUUCACAGAAAUAUUGCCUUAUUUUGACACUGACUUGGGCCCUUUUUCAUGGUUCUUUGUGCUCCACACUAACAGGGGACUAUGAGGGUGUCUUGGGUUCACUGUCAAUCAAUAUCAACUCAGAUCCUACUUCUAACAGCCCCCCAAAGAUCUAGGUAAUCCCUUUUCGCCAGUGUGGAAUUACUGAGGUCAAUAACUAAGGGAACCUUGUGAGGAAGAGGUUGGGGG